rnacentral:rRNA from 1 species
GACGUAGGGCGCGAGCGUUGUCCGGAUUUAUUGGGCGUAAAGAGCGUGUAGGCGGCCUGAAAGGUCAGCUGUGAAAACUCGAGGCUCAACCUCGAGACGUCGGUUGAAACCAUCUGGCUAGAGUCCGGGAGAGGAGAGUGGAAUUCCUGGUGUAGCGGUGAAAUGCGCAGAUAUCAGGAAGAACACCCGUGGCGAAAGCGGCUCUCUGGAACGGUACUGACGCUGAGACGCGAAAGCGUGGGGAGCGAACAGG